CUUUAGUGAAUUAUUUUCAACCAUCUGCGCAUGCAGCUGAAACAGUUCUGACAGACGAGAGUGAGGUAGUUUACGCAGAAACAACAUUUUCACCUAAUGAACAAAACAAGAAAGCUAAUGGGAGAGAAGAGACUAUAUACUCCACCGUCAAUAGAAACUGAUUGAAUAAGCAGCAGUCUCUCACUUCACCACAAUGGCUUUGCACACCUGCAUCUGUCAGUAUUACUACACUGGUUCGAUGAGAGGAAAACAUGAUUUGCCCUUGAUUUUCUUUGCUUUUUAACUUCAAAGAAAAUAUUUUGAAGAAUGUUGGGGUCCAAACAACACUGGGCCGCAUUUACUCUUAUUGUAUAAAAUGUGUAUUAAAAAUAUUGUAUAAAAAAAGUGACUUGACUUUACGUUGAUCAGGUUGUGGCAAAAUUAGCAUGUCUAAUAUAUAGAAAAAUUAAAGACUGUACAACCUUUGAACUUU